CAGUCGCCGCGGGAAUACGAAGGGGGCUAGCGUUGUUCGGAUUUACUGGGCGUAAAGCGCACGUAGGCGGAUCGAUCAGUCAGGGGUGAAAUCCCAGAGCUCAACUCUGGAACUGCCUUUGAUACUGUCGAUCUGGAGUAUGGAAGAGGUGAGUGGAAUUCCGAGUGUAGAGGUGAAAUUCGUAGAUAUUCGGAGGAGCGCCAGUGGCGAAGGCGGCUCACUGGUCCAUUACUGACGCUGAGGUGCGAAAGCGUGGGGAGCAAACAGGAUUAGAUACCCGCGUAGUCCCUGUCUCUUAUAC
rnacentral:rRNA from 1 species